AUGAUUAAUGCCCCUGUUUCCCACAUCAGUUCACCUCUUAACACACCCCUCCAUCAAUCUUCCUUUUUUUCGACCACCACACCUCAAACAACAAUCACAUCCUUGUUGCGUCAGGCUGCUAACCUGCCCCCACCACCACCAAUAUCCAACACAUUUACACAUUCACAACAUUACAAUACGCCAUUUCACCCACAUAUGACUUUUUCCCAGCAAAUGCCCUUUUCCCAACAACAACCAUACACUCAACUGUCCCAAAUUUCCCCACUACCCUCUUUUCAAACUCCUAAUUUGGAGUUAGCUAUAUUUGAUGGUAUAAACCUACUCGAAUGGUUGUUCUAA